GAUGAACGCUGGCGGCGUGCCUAAUACAUGCAAGUAGAACGCUGAAGGAAGGAGCUUGCUCUUUCCGGAUGAGUUGCGAACGGGUGAGUAACGCGUAGGUAACCUGCCUGGUAGCGGGGGAUAACUAUUGGAAACGAUAGCUAAUACCGCAUAACAGUAGAUGUUGCAUGAUAUCUACUUAAAAGGUGCAAUUGCACCACUACCAGAUGGACCUGCGUUGUAUUAGCUAGUUGGUGAGGUAACGGCUCACCAAGGCGACGAUACAUAGCCGACCUGAGAGGGUGAGCGGCCACACUGGGACUGAGACACGGCCCAGACUCCUACGGGAGGCAGCAGUAGGGAAUCGUCGGAAAUGGACGGAAGCCUGACCGAGCAACGCCGCGUGAGUGAAGAAGGUUUUCGGAUCGUAAAGCUCUGUUGUAAGAGAAGAACGAGUGUGAGAGUGGAAAGUUCACACUGUGACGGUAUCUUACCAGAAAGGGACGGCUAACUACGUG
rnacentral:rRNA from 1 species